rnacentral:rRNA from 1 species
UACAGAGACUGCGAGCGUUAUUCGGAUUCACUGGGCGUAAAGGGUGCGCAGGCGGCCAAGUGUGUGAGGCGUGAAAGCCCGGGGCUUAACCCCGGAAUUGCACCUCAAACUACAUGGCUAGAGCAUUGGAGAGGGUAGCAGAAUUCAUGGUGUAGCGGUGAAAUGCGCAGAGAUCGGGAGGAACACCCGUAGCGAAGGCGGCACUCUGGGCCGGUACUGACGCUGAGGAGCGAAAGCGUGGGGAGCAAACAGG